AGGGAAAUGGUUCAGUGGUUAGAGUGCAGGUCUUAGAAGCCUGAGGCCCUAGAUUUUUUUCCCUG
rnacentral:tRNA from 1 species